CAAGGGCUGCCGCCGGACACAUCAAUUUCAGCAUGGAAGCGGACAAGAAACGAUAUCGGGAUAUUCCGAAAAAGUGUCUGCCCUAUCAACCUGAUGGUAGUCUAUUAGUCUACCAUGUUUAUUACGGGUAACGGAGAAUAAGUGUUCGACUACGGAGAGGGAGCCUUAGAAACGGCUACCACAUCCAAGGAAGGCAGCAGGCGCGAAACUUAUCCAAUCUUUAAAAGAUGAGAUAGUGACUAAAAAUAAAAAGACCAUUCCUAUGGAACGGUCAUUUCAAUGAGUUGAUCAUAAACCUUUUUUCGAGGAUCAAGUGGAGGGCAAGUCUGGUGCCAGCAGCCGCGGUAUUUCCAGCUCCACUAGUGUAAACCGUCAUUGCUGCAGUUAAAGAGUUCGUAGUUGGAUCUGAGUUACAUGCAGUGAUUCGCCUCUGGCGAUAUCGCUGUUGUAACUAUUUGCUGGUUUUCUAUUGAGUUUUCGGCUCGUUUAGUGGUUAGCGAGUUUACUUGAAUAAAUUAGAAUGCUCAGAUCAGGCGUUUGCUUGAAUGGUCAAUCAUGUACUGUUGAGGGUAAGGUUCAUGU
rnacentral:ncRNA from 1 species